rnacentral:tRNA from 1 species
GCCCGACUAACUCAAUUGGUUAGAGUGUCAGACUUUUAUGAUCCAUAGAGAUCUGAAGGUUCAGGGUUCGAGUCCCUGGCCGGGCG